CACGUAGGGGCCAAGCGUUGUCCGGAUUUAUUGGGCGUAAAGAGCUCGUAGGCGGUUCGACAAGUCGGGUGUGAAAACUCCGGGCUCAACCCGGAGACGCCACCCGAUACUGUCGUGACUGGAGUCCGGUAGGGGAGUGGGGAAUUCCCGGUGUAGCGGUGAAAUGCGCAGAUAUCGGGAGGAACACCUAUGGCGAAGGCAGCUCGCUGGGACGUUACUGACGCUGAGACGCGAAAGCGUGGGGAGCAAACAGG
rnacentral:rRNA from 1 species